ACCCCUUGAUGGGCAGGACGGCCCGAUUCCAACUCUGAAAGGUUACUUUCUGAAUUUUCUGGAGCCAGUAAACAAUAUCACCAUUGUCCAAGGCCAGACGGCAAUUCUGCACUGCAAGGUGGCAGGAAACCCACCCCCUAACGUGCGGUGGCUAAAGAAUGAUGCCCCGGUGGUCCAACGCACAGCCCAAAUCAUAACUUUCAGUAAGUAUCUGUUUUCCCCAAACCAUGUUCUGCUGCUCUGAGGGUUUUUGUUAUGUAAGAAUCCGGGUUUUAAAUCCUGCCAGCUCAUGUCUUUGCCGAAUUUGCUAGAAGUUGGCUGGGCUUCACACAGG
rnacentral:sRNA from 1 species